rnacentral:rRNA from 1 species
AGUGAACGCUGGCGGUAGGCCUAACACAUGCAAGUCGAACGGCAGCACAGGAGAGCUUGCUCUCUGGGUGGCGAGUGGCGGACGGGUGAGGAAUACUUCGGAAUCUACUUUUUCGUGGGGGAUAACGUAGGGAAACUUACGCUAAUACCGCAUACGACCUACGGGUGAAGGCAGGGGAUCUUCGGACCUUGCGCGAUUGAAUGAGCCGAUGUCGGAUUAGCUAGUUGGCGGGGUAAAGGCCCACCAAGGCGACGAUCCGUAGCUGGUCUGAGAGGAUGGUCAGCCACCCUGGAACUGAGACACGGUCCAGACUCAUACGGGAGGCAGCAGCGGGGAAUAUUGGACAAUGGGCGCAAGCCUGAUCCAGCCAUACCGCGUGGGUGAAGAAGGCCUUCGGGUUGUAAAGCCCUUUUGUUGGGAAAGAAAUCCAGCUGGUUAAUACCCGGUUGGGAUGACGGUACCCAAAGAAUAAGCACCGGCUAACUUCGUGCCAGCAGCCGCCGUAA